AAUCCUAAUAUAAACACUGACAAAGCCAUGAUCGGGGCCGUAAGCAUCCACCCCACGAUUAGAAAACAGUAGUUCCGCCUCUGGUUUUCCAUUUUUCUUCUGUGAAAGGUGAAGAUAACGAACAGUGAUCAAUCUCAUAACUCCAAUAAAGAAUAUCUAUUAACAAGAUUUGACAAACAAGGACCCUUGGACAUAGAAGUAAACGGAGUUAUUUGUAGUAAAAAAACAAUCGGUAUAAAACACGUCAGACAACAUUUGACCCACUGAUAGGUUGUAUUGGUAAACUAGAAUUAUAACGACCAUACAAUCAGCGACAUGUUGACUUGUAUAUUUUUUUUAUUUGUAUUGUAAAAAAAAAUCGUUUGUAUUGCAUAAAAAUCAUCUCCAUUGUA